CAUCUUUGAUGUGUAUAUGAUUGGAGUUUCUUUCGGUAUUGCUGUUGCCAAACGGAUCGUACACUGCAGCAAUCAUGGUGAAGAUAUUCAUCGGUAACCUCUCUCCAGAAACGACGAGAGAGGACAUUGAAGAGCUCUUUGUCAAGUACGGCAUAGUAACGGAAUGUGCAAAGUACAAAAACUAUGCGUUCGUCCACAUGGACGACCGCAAGUCAGCCACCAAAGCUAUCCGUGAGCUCCAUCUGCACAAGCUGAACGGCAGGGCCAUCAAUGUGGAGCCCAGCAGAGGGAAGAACCAGGGUCCUGUCAAACUCCACAUUGCCAACGUUGAAAAAGGCUUUGAUAAAGAGCUGCGGGACCUGUUUGAGGAGUACGGCACAGUCAUGGAGUGCUCCAUUAUCAAGAACUUUGCUUUUGUUCAUAUGCCUCAUUAUGAUGAGGCCAUGGAUGCCCUGGAGGGCCUCGAUAACUUGGAGUUUCAGGGAAAGCGUAUUCAUGUUCAGGUAUCAAAAAGCAGACCCAGAGGGGGUCCUGAGGAGGAGGAGGAAUAUCCACCCCCACCAGCUGGAGGAGGCUACUAUCCUCCAUAUUACCCUAUGCCAAGGCCUGAGCCCCCCUACAGAGGGCGCCUUUCUGCUUAUCCUCCUCCUCCACCUCCCCCUCCACCCAUACCGCCACCUCCUCCCAUGAGACGAGCAGCAUACCCCGACCGUGGUUACAGUGACAGAGCGCCCUACGGGUCGGUGGAUUACUAUGAGAAGUACAGGGCCCGUCCUUUUACCGCGGCGGCGAGCUACGACGAUAGGCGUGCCAUACCUCCUCCUCCGCCUCCUUCAUCGACUCUGGUUAGAGAGCGCCUCGGGGUGGCGCCGUCAGUCGACCCAUAUGAGCGCCGUGCCCUCCCGACCCCUGCUGCAUAUGCCGCAAGGGACCGGAGUCCAAUCAGGAGAAUCCCCCCUCUACCUGCUCCGGCGGCUGGGAAUGGGUAUUCCUAUGAGCGCUCUCGACUCUCGCCGAUGUCCAGGGCUCCAUUGUACGCGCCUCCCCGUACCAGGGACCCCUAUGCAGGGAGAGUGCCUCCCCCACCGCCACCUCGCUACGCAGGCUAUUAGAGGGCCGUAGAGUUACGCAAGGUGCUUAAACCAUCUACAGGAGAAGCUAGCCAUGGGUAAGUCAUCCCUGAUGCCAAGCAGGAGGACUCAGAUUUGUCUCUUUACAGAUUGAAAAAAUGGUUCCAAGAUAACUGACAGUCAAAGAAAAUAUGAGAUUGGUCAAUAUUCUGAGGAGAACUGCUCAUCCUGUGGGAGUUUCUGGAAGGGAAUUUCCUCAAGCUUCCAGAAAACCUGCAUCAUCUUUUCGCAAAAUGAUAAGUUCAGGGACAGUUUGUGGAAGACAAGUUUUUUUAAUCUCUUGUGACAUCACACAUCUCACACUUUGUAUCAAAGAUUCCUACUGUCUGAAUUUCUUGGCUUUUUGUUGUCUGUUAAUUAUUGAAAAUUGUAUUUUUAGUCUCCGUUUCAAGAACAAUAGUUCUACAAAUGUUUGAGGUUGGAAACGAUACAAAUCAACACUUGUGUUUGUAUUAACAUCUUGUUAAAACUUUACAACUUGCUCUUUUAAAAUGUGAUUACUAGUGUAAAAGGUUUAGCCUUAUUCAAAUGUUAAUAUAAACUGUUUCCUCACCCACUUUGAACUGUAACACAUUCCAUUAUAUUUAUUUUGGUUAAUGUAUGUGGUGCUAAUUGGUAAUGUGGUCACAAAAGCAGUUUUCCUCCUGAAAUUGAAGCCAAUUCUCUCAUGUUGUGUGACUAAAAGUGGAACUGUUGAUUUUUUCCAGUUCCUCUUUUGGUAAAAUCCAUUUAUCAAGGAAACUAUUAAAGAUCAUCUCUUGCA